ensembl:lncRNA
UUUUUUUUCUUUUGAGUGGAAGUUUAGAACUGUUCAGGGUGGAAGUAAAAUAUUCAGUUAAGAAUAAGGCUCACAAAUACAAAAAUAUAAGGGAGAUUAUAGCAAGCAGUGGACAGUUUAACCUGUUUUUUGGGUUUCCACUGUGUCAUGGUAGUCUGUGGAAAGUUUGAAGUUUGUGAAAAUUCCAGUAAUAUAAUCAAGUCUGUUUAAUGGAAAUUCCUGUCCUUUUGUACAGCAUUUGUAGUAAAUUACCAGACUGGAGUACCCACACAUUGGAAUAUUUAAUUCUUAUGAUGCUCUACUACCAUUAUGGGCCUUUCAAUAUUUCAUCAAUGACUUGCCACUUAUAAAAUGAAGCAGCAGUAGGACAGAAUUCUUUUUGGACGUAAGAGGGCAAUGGCUACAUAAAUCCAUAAUUCAGCAUAUAGAGCUAAAUUACAAAUGAAUAAAAUAAUUUCUUUUCACAACCUAAUUUUUGUUAAAUGUGUGCUAAACAGCACUGUCCCUAAAAUAUGCUCUGUGUGACACAAAUACAAGACUGUUUAUAACUCGUUUAUAAAACCUGUAGAUAUUUUGCUUCUGUGGGACUUCUACGGUCAGUAGCACUUACCUCUACUGUUUGCUUUUGGUCUUCUGCUUAGGGAUUGUGUAGAGCCUAAAACAUUUUAAAAUAAAGUUUCAUGGAAAGCAUCUAUUUGCUAACAGUGCCACUUUCUUACAGGUCUGAUUUAUGAUUAGAGGUGUGAGACAACCAAUCUGCAUAUAAAAUGCUUUGGUAUCACAUUGGUGCCAGUUCUGUCUACAUGCUGCCUUUACAAACUUCUUUUCCAGUUUACAGAUUGGCAGAUAUAGUUUGUCCUUUCCAGUGUCAGUGACGAGAGCUGGUGGGUAUGAAAUAUGACCAUGUUGUGUUUGUAAAAGUCAAGUAUUUUUUUCUUAGAAAAUGUUUAUUUUUAAGUGAAAAUGAGAAGAAAGCUGAAUUAAGAACAAUAUAAAUAAUUCUUGAAUUUUAAAACGACAAAGACCAUCUUAUUAUAAAAACACUCCCUUUGAGUUACUGAGCAAAACCUGAGUAUACCUUCCUUUAAUUGGUCUGAUGAUGCACGGCAAUUUCUUUCCCUAAUGAUAUACUUUGUUCUCUGCAUAGUCUUAUAUGUCUCUCAUAAAGAAUGAUGCUGCAAUUUCUUUCCCCAGUGUCACACUUUUGUACUGACUUAUUCAUGUGUCUGGCAGAAUACAAGGUAGAAUACUGUUUUAUAUUUAUGACUAAAAGUCAAGUUUUAGUUCUUCCCAUACCACCUUCUCUGAGGUGUCAUGUUCAAUCAAUAAGACUAUUAACAAGUUGCUUCAAGCACAUAUUCUUUUUUCUACUAUAAUUUACUUUUAUUUUGGUGAACAAGCUAGACAGAGUAGUCUAAAACUCAAGCAUGGAUUAAUUUUCUGCAGGUCAGCUUGUAAUAAAAAGUUGUUUAACUUGUUAAGAGAGGCACAUCAAUGAAAGUUAAGGGGAUUCAGAAAUCUAGAAAAUUAUUUUUAUUAAUCCAAUAUGGCAUAUAUACGCUCUCUCAAAUGAAUUUUAGUUUAUCCUGUUUCUAAACCAACUAAAUACUAAUGAGGGGAAUAAAAGUGACUUCCAGGCACACUCAUUUUGUCUCUUUUCCACAUCACUGUUGUUGGGCAAAACCCCAACAGAUAUGCAAUGCCAUCACAGGCACCAGAGACAACAACUUGAAAUGCAUAAUAAAAAUUCUCAGUUUAUUAGAUUUGUCCUUCUGUGAUUAAAAGCAUCUCUUAACAGCAGACAUCUGUUGGACAACUUAGAGGGUUCCUUUUUGUCUUGGUAUGUGAGAAAAUCCUGCAGGCUGUAUUGCUCAGCCCUGCUAGACCCCGGCAUGUUGUGGAUGCACAGGAAAUGAAGCAUAUGCUCAGUGGUGGAACUGUAGUAACAUGCAAGUUUGGAGUAAUCUGUUGAAAAAAAAAGGUGCCAUUCCCUAUGAUGUGCCCUGUGGAAAGGAAAAUCCCAUGUGAAAUCUCUGAUCUCAUGUGAUACCUCUGGUUGUGAAUCAAGUUUGACAGAAAAAAAUAAGUGUGUGAUAGGCAGCAUGCUAAAAUCAAAAUAAUUUUGCAUCUACACCUUUUAAGCCUUGUACUGUAGCUUUGCAUGGAAAGAUCACUGUAAACAGAGAAAUGCUAUGGAACAAGAGCAUCACUCUCACUAAUUUUCACAAGUGAAGCUAGAUUAUUUUUUUUCCACACAGUAAACAUAUGUCCUUCAGGCUUUCUUAAAUGGGGUACCUCUUUCCUUAGUAAAAGUAGUUUUCUUCCUCUGGGCCCAACUAAUUCAUCUUUUGAAAGGCGACUGCUCUGAAGCCAAAAGAACAAAAAUAGCACUGUGGGCCACCAGCAUGCAGCAGGUCUUGUUUGUGUGUGCUUUCAAAGCAAAAAGGACCUUCAUUGUUCUAAGAAAGUGUUUCAGGGCCAACUUUGUGUUUUGCAAGUAUGCAAUGCAGCCUGUGAGAAAGUCACCAAGGACAUAAUAUUUAUUUACAUGCCCAUGGUUCAUCUGAAAUUUGAGUGCUACAAAGCUUUCAAAACAGAUAAAAAGCUUUAUGAGGUAGAUUUUCAAAAUUUGGAAGAUUCAUAUGUAUAAAGAAAGACAUAUUUGAACCAACAGUAGAGAAGGUUUAAAUCUUUAUGUUUCAGAACACAAAAUAGCCUCUAUGAAAUUAAAAUUCCAUAGAAUUUUAGGUUAAAAUUUAGAGUUCCUUCCAUAGGAAGGAACUCAUCUUGAGUCUAAAUAUACAGUUUCUUGCUGAGACGCUGGGGUCUUUUCCCCCAAAUCCAAGUCAAAGAAGGACUGUGAAAGAGCAGUAGGCUAUUUUAAUAUGCUGUGGUGAUUACCAUAGGUGUGUCUCCAUGUACAUGCAAGAGGACAUACAUAAGUAUAUCCCGUCCUUACUGAAAGCCUGGAAGCUGCAGGAAGUACUGAAGCCUUUCUACAGUGAAUAUUAUAUUAUCAAAGCACUAAGAUUGAGAAAUUUGGCUUUGUGCCUUUCCAGGAUGUUGACAACAACUGAGGUUAGGCCUCUAGAGCUCAGUUCCUGCACCAAGGUAAUUUGGUCAAUACCAGGAAAUGCAGAGAUGAAGGUACAUGCUGGGCACUUCUCAGUCUCCUCAGGACCAAUGAUUAUUGCUGCAAAAAUCAGAGUUAAUGAAGUACCAAAUAAGUGGUGGCUUCUUCAUUUCUUCGUCUCCUCAAAUUGACACUGGACACCUAUUGGCAGGUCAGAGUGUGAUGAUUCCAGGAUCAGAGCAGCUGGGUUAAUUUUACAU